rnacentral:lncRNA from 1 species
GUACUUCUACACAAAGGCCGCUGUAAGUCUGAGAUAUAUGAACUAAUUAUAAGGUUUAGAAUUGUUGUUAAGACCCAGCAUCCAUAGCUGGAGCCAGCACAGUAGAGGAGCCUGUGCAUGGGUAUGGAGCACUUCAAGGGCCCAGCCCAGGACAGCAGGGUGUGGGGGCAAGCCCCUAUCCUGGCAGAGAUCUGGUUGUUGGUUCUGGUUGGGUUCAUUGUGUUUCAGCUGGCUGAGAGCAGAUGAGAUCCAUCUCAUGUCUUCCCCUGCACGAUCCAGCACUGCUUUGCUGAUCUUGGAUGUGUGGAGGGAAAAGAUGGCCUAGUUUGACCAGAAAUGCACUCUGCUCUGCCCCAGGCCAUGCUGCUGGCAUGAUGCAGGACACGGAGCUGUGCUGGAGAGCCUGAGCAGCCCCAGUGAGCGUACCAGAGGCUACUGAAGGAAGAAAGUGGAAUUCUGGGCAGUUCAGAGCUGUUGAGGAGAACCUCGCAAUGCUCAACAAUUCCCGAGCAGCCUGCUGUAAAUCUUGUAGCCAGUUCAGCUUUCAGAGGGAGCCAGAAGAGAUUUGUAGAGUUUGGCAGUAGUGUCGUUCCUGAGGAAGACUGGAGAAAGAAAACUCAGAAUCACGGCUAUGAACAGCUCUUUAGAAAUGAAUGGCUAACUCGAGGAAGUCUUGCAGUGAGCAAAUCUUUGCUUGAAAUAGUUUGGGACCAAGUGUAA